UAACAGCCAAAACUAUAAAACUCUUGGAGAACAAAAGAGUAAAUUUUUGUGACCAUGGGUUAGACAAUUGUUUCUUAGAUAUGACAUCAAAUACACAUACAACAAAUAAAUAAAUAAAUUGGACUUCAUCAAAAUUAGAAGCGUUUGUUGUUCAAAAGACACCAGCAAGAAUGUAAACAAACCACAAAAUGGGAGAAAAAAUUUGCAAAUACUAUGUCUGAUAAGGGAUUUGUAUCCAGAACACAUAAAAAACUCUUAUAACUCAUCUGUCACUUCCAUCUUAGGUUUUCAAGUUAUGGUCCUAAGCCCCUUUCCUACAUCCGUCUUAAAAUAUCAUGUCCAGAAGUUCAGGAAUAAGAUGAGAUUAUUCCAAGCCACGCUCAUUUAGGCACCUUGAAAAUAGGUUUUUACUUACUUUUCCUAACCAGCCUUUAAAGUUAGGCAACAUUUUACAAAUUGAACUCAGAGAGGCUAAGCUCUUGUCCAAGGUCACACAGCUGUGAAGUAACAGACCCAGGAUUUGAAACCAUGUCUGGUUUUAUUUGUCAUUCCUGACCUGAAUUAAUUAAUAGACUAGAAAUCCUCCAUUCCUUCAACAUUGUAGACAAACAAGGAUUCGCUACAUGAGCUGGAAGGAGUCUACGGAGGAGCUAAACUUCUCCAAGCAGCUGGAGGUUGUUAAUCUCAGCGAUGGACGUUAGUCUGAGGCCAGGCUUAUUUGUUAUAAUUAGAAGUCCUUAAAAUUUCAGAAGGGCUCCUUGUGUGCUGAGCUGGCUGCUCUUUCUCAAAAGUGAAAAGCAAACCUUUCAUUUCAUUUUACUUUAUUCUGUUUUUCUUACUACAGUGAGGUAGUGUCUGGGUGAGAACAUUCCUUCACUUCUCCUUCCUUCUCCCAGAGCACCCUUUUCACAAAAGCCUUUUAACUCUGGCAUUUUUCAAAAACUUGGCAGUCAUUUCGAGUAGAGCAUAAAAUUAGCCUUUUAGGCUGAAUGAUAUUUUUUUCCAAAAACUUCUGGAGCGAUUGCACUAUUUGGCGGUGAGUUGAGAACAGGGAACGUGUACCCGCCCUCGAUUUGGAGGCGCAUCCCCUCAGCCUGCUGGUCCCCUCCGCCUACCGGUCCUGGGCGCGCAGGGGGAGCCAGCGGCCCUUGCAGACUCCAGGCUGCUGGCCGUUGAAGUCAUAAAGCAGGCAUUGUUUGACAGGGUGGCUGGAAGCAGGGCUGUCUCAAGUCGAGCUAUGACAACCGACAAGACUGUGGAAAACAGUCAACAAAUUGCAACCGUCCUCCAGAGACUUCCUGAAUUCCCUCGGAGAUUACCUUCUUGAGAACAAAACAAAUGUCUACAACAAGUUUCCAGCUAAAAACUGCAUCUCCUUUUCCAAAGUGGCUGAAGAUGACUACAUGACACAAUUUGAGAACUUCUUGAACUUCUUGUUAUGUGAGAAAAAAAAUAAACCCCUAACUUGUUUAAGCUACCAUUAUACUGAUUUUCUGCUAUGUGCUGCUAAGCUCAAUCUCUAAGUGACACAGUCAUCAAAAGGAAGCAAAGCAUAGUGUAAAAGUCUUAGACUUCUAGUGUAAGACCUCUUCAUUGGCCUUCUGGCCCCACUUCUUCCCUAUCAAGUCUCCACAUUUUAGCCAGAGUCGUCUUUCCAAUGCCUUGUUUAAAAUCCUUCAGCAGACUUUCUCUGCCCUGAAGAUUAAGUCCCAAACCCUUGUUGUAAUUAAAAGUCCCUCCUGGAUCUGGCCCCUGCCCACAUGUGCAUCCUCAUCACUCGUCUCCUUGCCUCUCUCGUUUCCAGCCACACCCAUCUUCUUGCUACUCCAAUGCACUACAUGGUCCUUUGGCUUUUCCUUCUGAUAUGCUGUUCUUCUGCUUGCAGCAUUCUCCCCAUCAUGAUCCCCUCUUUGAAUAUCAAAAUAAAUGGAACACUACUUACAGAUCUCUAAGACUGGCUUCUUUCGUGUCACUAUGACUACCUCCCUUGAUAACUUGCAAUUACUUUCUCAAUGUCUUGCCCACUAGACUAUAGACUCAGUGAGAGUAUGGGCCCCAUCUGUCUUGUUUAUCAUCAUAUCCCCAACACUUGUUUAGUUUGGUGUUUGCCAUAAAGCAAGCAUUCAGCUCAUAAUAUGAGUGUAAACUUGAGCAAGUCUUCUGUUUUGUCUCAGAGUUUGCUUUUGGGAGAAACCCAAAUUAAGGUUUCAAGUGCAAAUAGUUUAUUUGGAAAGUGAUCCUAGGAAAAGUGAGGGGAGUGGGGAAAUGAGACAGAGAAGGAAACAAAGCAAAUAAGGAGGAUGUUAUCAAGCAAUUUCUGAUUGUGGGUACUGUGGCACUGUGGAGAAGAGCUUAUUCCACUGAGGAACUUGAAGAGAUAUGCCUGAGGGGUGAGGGAGGUGGAGCGUGAAGCCAUCAGCUCACACCAGGCAUUGGUUGAGGGCUGCUAGAUGAGGGUAGGGGUGGCAAUAGCUCCCCAGCACUGCUGGUCUGCUUGGCAUGCAGACAGAACUUAUCUGCCAAAGAAAAGUAGGCCUUCAGGGAGAGAGCUUGGAUGCUGGCAACUGGAAGUGAGACGGUGCCCAAAGUGCUGAUGGGGUAAGAGUGGGCGCCCACGGUGUCUGCCACAUCACUUCUCUCGACCAAGCCUCAUCACCCAUAGAACGCACAUGACAACUACUUAGAUAUUUCUGCAUAUUGAAUGAGUUAUUCACUCUGUUUGGAACACUAAUCCCCUGAUAAAUCUUUAAUCAAAUAGUAUUGUUCCAUGUAGUUUUAUUUCCCUUGAAGUUGGAGCAUCUAUUUCUUCUUAGGUUAAAAUUGUAACGUCAUUUUUAUCAUGCACAAAUAAGGCCCUGAUAAAUCACCUGGAGAGAAGACCUGAUGGGGAUUAUUAGAUAGGUGUCACUUUGUUUACUAGUUUGGAGUUGUUACAAGUGGGAAAAGGUCUGGCCCAGGCAUGGUGCAGGGAGACUAGAGACAGGGUUUCCAGUCAGGUAGAUACAAUGUCUAUUCUGCCCAGCUACAAACUUGGGGAAAUCUAGGCAGGUAAUUGACCUCUCCUCCUCUAUAAAAUAAAGAUGAUAAUUCCUAUCAUGCGUAUUUAUUAAGAACAUUUAUGUGGCAAGCAGCAAAGAUUAGAUGAUUGAGAAAUGUAUGACAGUAUAGAAAUAGAGGUUUGGGGUUAGAUUAUGUGGGUUCCUAUUCCAGCUACAGCACAUUCAGAACAUCUCCAAAUCUAAGCGUCAGUUUCCACAUCUGUUUAAAGAUCAUAAUAAUAGUAUUGCUUCAUUAUUUUGUUUUAAAGAUAAAUGAAGUACAUUUUAAAAAGUUCCUGGCAUUGAGAAAAUACUCAAUAAAGGUUAGUUGUAAUUAUUUUCAUUAGUAUAUUAGCAUUACUGUUAUUACUAUUUUUCAAACAAUAAUUUCCAUACAGUUUUCACCAAGUGUGCAACUUUAUUCUCGCAAUCUUUACCAAAAAAUGAACACAUCCUUUGAGAGUAAGCUGUGGUUUCCAUUUUUCAUACCAAAUUCUAUUUGCAGAUUCAAGUACUUUGGGGUUUUUAGUCAUUUGGCAAGUUUCAAUUUAGAAGGGGGCCUGGGGCGUCAAAUGAUCCAUACAGAAAGAAUGGGUGAUAAUUUGGUGUUCAACCUUAAAGCUUCUAUCUUUCAUUCAUCUUGGAUCUCCCUACUUCCAUCACUAUCAUGCUGAUGUCUGGAUCUAAAUGAAAUAUUGCCAUAAAUUAUACCGGCUAACCAGGAGUCAUCAGUCCUCUGUUGAGGGUCAAGUCACUAAAUGGUAAAAUUGAUAAUAGUCCUUGCUGGCUUCGCCCAAAUCACUUCUCAACUCCAAUAAGUGUUGGGCUAGCACAUUUACACAUUACCCUGAGACACCUCUAAGUUACUUUAGCCUUAAGGUGCAGAGCUGACAUAUUAACAAGGAUGCCUUUUGCAUUUAGGCUAUCAGAAGUCUCCUUUCAACCAUGACUUUAAUUGUCGAUUACAGAUGGAAGUCAAGUUUGCAGGAAGCAGAACGUUCAUGCAUAAGGAGGGCUAAAAGUUCAAUGCAUUUUCUAUGAGAGGCACGAUGUUGCUUUUAAAGAUCAAACUCUGCUCAGAUUUGUCACGGCAUUUUAGAACUUGAAGGGAUCUAAGAGGUCUUCUAGUUAUAAUUGCCUUCGCUUACAGAUGAAGAACAUCAAACUCAGAGAGGUUAAUUGAUUGCCCAAGGUCAUAUAUAGCAGUGCUUUUCAAACUUUAACGAGAGUAAGAAUCACCUGAGGGGAUCUCAUUACAAUGCAGAUUCUGAUUCAGUAGGUCUGGAGUGGGACCUGAGAUUCUGCAUUUCUAUGAGCUUCCAGGGGAUGCAGCUGCUGCUGGUCCUUGGACCACUCUGUGAGUAGUAAGGAUAUUCCAUGAGAGGAAUAGUCCAUGAGGGGAAUAGGAAGUCAGGAUUGUUUGACACUCAAUUUAUUCUUUUAUUUUACCACCUGGGGAUUAUCCCUUGUUGCUGAAACCACAGAAGCUUAGAAUGAGGGCGGUCAUUAGUCUCCUGGGGAGGAGUGGUAUGCUUUUCAAUUAACCAGAGUCUGAACUUGCAAAAUGUUCAAGUAAACUGUCAACAAAUAGAUUGAUUAGUCAAUUUGAAUGUCAUCAAAGUGCCGAAGCAUUGUAUGGUGGAUACUACGAUGUGUCACACAGAAGAACUAAGUUUCGGAAGAAAGAACGAAAUCCUUCAGUUACAGAACUGCCAACAGAGCCCUCUGGUUCUGGUCCCCUGUAAAAGUGGCUUCAGCUCAAGAGAACCCCAGGGUCAUGCCUUUUCCCAGGGUGGUCUGCAUCCAAUGACUGAUCCAUGGGUGCACCAGAUGGUCAUUUUUUCUGGUCUCUAAUUAUGUCAUUGGAAUAAACUUCUGUUAUUGGUUGAAAUGUGACCUCUCCAAGUUCAGGUGUUGAAGUCCUAACCUCCAGCACCUCACAUGUGACUGCAUUUGGAGAUAGGGCUUUUAAAGAGGUAGUUAAGUUAAAAUGAGAUCAUUAGGGUGGGUCCUAAUCCAAUAUGACUGGUGUCCUUAUAAUAAGAGGAGAUUAAGACACGAAACACACAGAGGGAAGAUCAGAUGAAGACACAGGGAGGAGAUGGCAACCUGCAAGCCAAGGAGAGAGAGACUUCAGUAGAAACAACCAUGUUAACACCUUGGUCUCAGACUUCCAGUCUUCAGAACUUUGAGAAAAUAAAUUCCUAUUGUUUAAGCCCCCCAGUCUGUGAUACUUUAUUACAGCAGCCCGAGCAAACUAAUACAACAUUCCUAGUAGUUGUCACAGCUUCCACAUUAAUCCCUUGGCUUGUGGGGUGAGAACUUUUGUAACAGAGAAUGUCAAGUGGAAGUAUCUGAAACUGCCUACUCCUAAAACAGUACAUAUAAAACAAUAUUACAUACCAGGGGAGUGGCAGAAAUAGCAUCACCCUUAAAUACUUAAAAGAUGCAGGGAUGGUGGUCCCUUCUAUUUCACAAAUAAUUUCCCAGACUGGUUCCUACAAAACCCAGCCAGAUCCUGGAGGGUGACAGUAGCCUACUGCUAACUCAUCCAAGAAGUAGUCCCAAUUAUAGCUGCUGGGCCACAUGUGGGAUAUUUACCAGAACAAGUCAGCAUGUCUCUAGGUACAUGGCAUGUGACCAUCAAUUUGGCUAAUCCAUUCUUAUUCCAAUCAGAAAGAGGAUCAGAAGGAGUGGCAUUCACUGGCGUAGAGAGCAGUGUAUAUUUCCUGUCCUGUCCAGGGCUAUACUAACUCAUCCACCCUCUGUUGUAAUAUGUAGUCUUAUUAUGAAGAGUCCAGGACCUUAGCAUGAACGUCCAGAGUUGGAUAUUAUGCACAACAUCACACUAACCUACAAAGUUGAUGACAUCCUAAUCAGAUCGAAUGAGCAAGAUGUGGUUAGUGCAUUGGAAACCUCGAUAAGAUCCAUGCACUCCAGUAGGCAGGAGACAGAUUCUUCAAAGAUCCAAGCCUGCCACUCCUCAGUUGUUCCUUUUCAGUCAAGGCAUGGGAAGAAAAGAGCUGGAACAUACGUUUACAUCUAGAAUUCUCAGCCCCACAGAAAUUCUCUCAUUGUACAAUGAAAACAAUGGCUUUAUUUUAUUCUGUCUUCCCAUGAGCUUCGAACCACAUGAGAACCUGACUAACCAUGACUGAGCUGGGCUCUUGCAUUUUCUUCCUGUUACCAAACUCAGCAAACUUUAGCAGGUCCAUUUGAUGUUAACUGUUGUUGCUGAACAAAUCCUUAGAGUGCCCUCUAUGUCUCAAGCUCAAUUAAAGAAAGCCAUCUUAUAAUACCAGAGCCUAACGAACACCUGAAUUUAAUUCUAAUGGCACUGUUUUGAAGAUAAAAUAAGUUAAUACAUACUAAAUUCUUAGAACAAUUUCUAACACAUUUAUUUCUCAAAAAGAUUAAUUAUUAAUAUUAAUUUUCCUUUUUUACAGGUAAACUCACAAAAGUAAUCCCAUAAUUUUGGGCUUGUCCUUCUAGGACACACAGAAUCAUUGUGAGUUACAGAUCAUAAGAGAAAAUUUGGGGAAAACUAGCCUAGCAGAGAGCACAGAAAGGACAUUAGAUGGGAAAAAGACUUGGCCUAGAUCAGUGUUGCUUAACCUUGGCUCUACUGACGUUUGGACCAGAUAAUGUUUUGUCAUAGGGCACUGCUGUUUUGAUUGUAGGAUAUUUAGUAGCGUCUAUAUUCCCUAGUAGCAACUCUUCAGUUAUUACAACAAAAAUAUCUCUAGACAUUGCCAAAUGUGCCCUCAGGGGUAAAGUUGCCCAUGGCUUGGAACCACUGGACUAGAUGGAAGGAGGGAUAUGCUUGAGUUGGGGCAGGAACAGAGGAACUGGUGAUAAAAGAUAUUGUAAGGAGGGAUGGGGGAAAUUGGUGGUUGAUUAAAGAGGUCAAAGAAAAAAGGAAUCGAAGAUGAUCCCAAGUUUUGUGUUUGUUCCCAGAAUACUUGGGGUAAUGGUGACAAUGUAUAUAGAAAGGAACCUGGUUUAUGGAAGAAGCAGGCAAGCUUUGGUUUUUUAUUUUCCAAUCCAAAAGUCUUGGGGGGUAAUAACUACCACUUAUUUUUGUGCCAGGUAGUUUUGCAUACAUUAUCUCAUUUAAUAUCCUUGACUACCUGGUGAGGCAAGUCCUUCUUUUCCUUCGUCUGUACACAUUAUGAGAUUCUGAGACUGAAGUGACCUUCCCAGGGUCACAGGGCUGUUAAGUGGUCGAGCAUGAUUUGGACCCAUAUGUACUGACUUCAAAAUCCGGGCUUUGUCCCUUGCCCUUUGCUGCCUUCAUAGGGUACAGAAAUGAGUUCUGGGAGAAGUUGAUUUGGAAGUUACCAAAUCAGCAUAAAGGAUGAGAGAGGCUCACUUUUCCCAGUCAGUGAGGGCAACAGAAUUACAUUGCCUUGGAUUUGUCUAUAGUCAGCUAAAGCGGCGCCAUGACAGCUGCGUGACUACAGUCCCAAAGAGGUUCUCUCUUACAUCUGGCCUUUUCCAGCAAGCAGACAACUCCAAGGCAUCUGACAUCCCAUGCACACACACCAGCAGUGAACCCUGUGCCUGUAUUUGUUCACCUUUAAACAGAAGGCUGAUUUUGGCAGCUGGGUGCCAAGUCCGCCUCCAAGGGGCUGUUACUCAUGUGCUCUCUUCAAGAGCAGCAUUCUUUUCAGCCAUGUUAACAUUGCUUUUCUCAUAUCUUAGAGCAGGUGAAUCAGGCGGGAAGGAUGGACCAGAGAUGGGCAUUAGACCAGUGAGCAAAGCAAUGUGGGCGUCCCAGCUGCUAGCAUGAGGUUAUUUUUCUUGAGAAUCGCACUGCAUGUGUUAGGUCUCAACAUGCCUGCUUAGAGCAAAACUUAGAAGUAACAGCUAACCCAAAGACAACCCUUCUGCAGACAGUGAUUCAAAAGCCAAAAGGUAUAUAGUGACAGAUACACAAGACGUCUCAGAAAGGAUUCGCAAUAAAUUGUUAACAGUGGUUGCCUCUGGAGAGAAUCAGCAGAGAAGAAGGUCAACACAACUGAAGUUUUCACUGUAUAUAUUUUUUGAACAUUUGAAUUCUUCACCAUGUGAAUGCAUUAUUUGAAAAAGAAGUACAUUGUGAUACAAAUUGCUAGAGUGGUACCCCUUGGGGUAUGGGUCAUGAGCAGAAGGGGGCAUGAGAGGGUCUUCUGAAGGCACUCUUAGUGUUCUGUUUCUUGAGUUGGGCAUCGGUUAGCCGGAUGUAUUCACUUUGAAAAUUCAUCACGCUGUCCACUGAUGUGCACUCCUCCCCAAGCAUGUUAUAUUUUAAUAAAACAUUCAAUGUGUUUGAAAAGGUAAACAAGCAAAAAAAAAGUCUAUAAGAGUCAAUUUGGUAGACUGGGUGAUUCAUUCAUUUAUGCAUUGAUUUAGUUAAAAAAAAAACCAAAAAUGUAUUUCUUGCAUUUACUUUGUGAUGCGACCUGAGAAUGUAAGAGUGACUAAGGCAAGCUCCCUCUGCUUGCGAAGACCUAGCCUUGUGAUGGAGAAAGGAGGUUCUAUUACCUUGAAGCAGGGCUGCGGGUGUUAGUUUCCUACUGCUGUGCAGCUAUUCCCACACACUUUGUGUCUUAAGACAACACAAAGUUAAUAUCUUACUCUGCUGAAGGUUAGAAGUGCAGCACAGUCUCACUGGGCUAAAACCACAGGGUGUUCCUUUUGGAAGCUCUAUGGGAAAACCUGCUUCCUUGCCUCCCCCAGCAUCCAGAGGCUGCCCACAUUCCAUCUUCAAACCCGUCACUCCAACCUUGGCUUCCGUUGUCACAUUGCCUUUUUCUGGCUGUGUAUCACUUUCUUCCCUCUUUUCCUUCUUUCACGUGGUGGGUGAUUCUGCUGGACCCUCCAGGAAAAUCCAGGAUUAUCUCUCCAUCUCAAGAUCUUUAACUUAAUCACAUUUGUACAGUCCCUUUUGGCGUGGAAGGUGAUAAAUUCAAAGGUUCUGUGGAUCAGUAUGAGGACAUCUUUGGGGAUGUCAUUCUGUUACUAGAGAUUGAAUGUUUAUGUCUUCCCCAAAUUCAUAUGUUAAAACAUUUCUCCAGUGUGAGGGUAUCAGGAGACGGGGCUUUGAGAGGUGAUUAGGUCAUGAGUGUGGAGCCCACGUGAAUGGGAUCAGUGUCCUUGCAAAGGAGACUACAGAGAGCUCCUUGCCCCUUCCAUCAUGUGAGGACACAGUGAGAAGAUGGCAUCUAUGACCCCGGAUUGGGGCUCUCACCAGACACCAAAUCUGCCGGUGCCUUGGUCUUAGACCUCCCAGACUCCAGAGCUGUGAGAAAUAAAUUUCUGUUAUUGUUAGCCACCCGUCUAUGAUAUUCUGUUUUAGCAGCUUGAACGGACUAAGACAUCUAACACAGUGUAUGAUAUAAGUGCCUCAAGGUAAACGGAAUUUGAGGGGGAAGCAGCCAGAGUAGUCACCAUGGGGCGUGAGUGGGGAUGGGAGGCAGCAGAUAGCAGGUAACACUUCAGGGGACCUGAGGGAAGGGCAAGAAUUCAGGUGGGAACGGGUGUGCAUCAGAGCCCCGAGGGAUGCCAGAGAUGGGAAAGAACACACGCAGGCUGGGGUUAGAGUGUUGUCCAAUCCCCGUGAAGGGUUUUCCUAGGGAAGCAGCCUUGAACUAAACCUGAAUGAGAAAAACGAGUGUGGGAGUAGCAUUUCAGGCAGAAGGAUCAGCUUGUGCACAAACCAAUGGGGGAAGAGGAGACAGCGCAGUUCGUAUAAGAAGCUGAUGGGCACCAUGACAGCCUGGUUCAAGAAGGAGAGUUAGAAGGAAAUGUCAGGAUGAAGACCUCAAUGCCUUUUCUACAGCCUGGAAGAUGCUUCACCUUCUGGUUCUGCUCCAGACCAAAUGGUCUGCUCCAUUUGUCUCAACUUUUAAGUGAAAUGGGAAGCCCCAAAGGACUCUCAGCAGAGGAGGACAUCUCCCAGGGAUCAAAGCCUCAAGCUUAGGAAGACAAGAGGUCCAGAGGCAGCCAGUCCAGGGCUGGGGAAGACAUUGGAUGAUGCUGUCAAGGGGUCAGGAUCUUCUACUCUUGUGGUGCCAUCUUCAGCUGGUGGUUCUCCUCAUGGCCCCUGGAGAGCUGCCGCCCCUUUGGACAUUACAUCUGCAUUCCAGAAGGAAGAAGAAAACAGGGCAAUGCGUGAAAGGGCACACCGGCUGACUUUCCCUUUCUGCCAUGUGAGUGAAAGCUCUCCUGGAAGUUGCAACCAGAAUUUUCCUACUGGCAUCUCACUGACCGAAACGAUGCUCCAUAACGACCUCAGGCUGGAAGGGGGUUUUCCCACUCACUUGAACAUAUAAUCUUUACUAUGUGAUAAAUUCUGGACUUCUGCUGGAGAAGGCCAUCGAGAGGACAUGACUGCCGAUCAACCCUCAAGCUGGACCUGGGCAAUCCUCACCCUCCUCUGUCCUUGGAAUGUAUGUUCUGCCCACUGUUCCCCCAUGGGAGCCAUUUUCAAGGAUGCAGCUUUGAGAGAGCAAUGUGUUGUUGAGAUCAUCUGGAAGGUGUGUGUGACUGACCCCGUUAAAGCCUCUAUGUAAACUUUUAAGAUUCUGGCUGGCAGGUGUGGAGAUCGAUUCAUCUUGCAGCCGCCCAAGACAAGUCUCAUAGGUCAAUUCCCUUGCUGAUUAAACCUGCCACCUUCCAGUCUGGAGUGGCUGCCUCUUUCUGUGGUCUCUCCUUGCCUUCCAUGUACGGGGGGGCCAGUUUCAGAUUUCACCAAGGGAACUCCUGAUGUUACAAACCAG
ensembl:lncRNA